CUCACCCACGUGGAUGACCAAUACUUCCGGGUUCAAUCAGUCUUCGUGCUGUCUUCACAAUUCAUUGUUAAUAAAUUGUGGAUCCUUCCAUCAUUGGGACCUUCCUGUCUGUUCCACAUAAAUUAAGGAGGAAGAAACUAGAAGGAUAUGUGAAUAGUGGGUGGUUGAUCUCCCCUAAAAAGAUCACAGAGCGCUACACACUGGAGCCAGGUGACCGGUUGGCUCCACUCUUGUGAGUUGUGAAUUACCAUUUAUUUUCUGUUCACAUCCAUAUAUAGUUCAUACUAUCUGCACUAUGUGUAUGUUGCAUAUUACUUACAGAUCACUGUGAAGGAAUACCAUUGAAUUUAUUUGUCAUUUUUCCAAGUACUUCAGGUACUUUAAAGCUCCACUUAUAUUCUUUUUUCU